rnacentral:rRNA from 1 species
AACGUAGGAUCCGAGCGUUAUCCGAAUUCACUGGGCGUAAAGCGCGUGCAGGCGGUUCGGUAAGUUGGAUGUGAAAUCUCCUGGCUCAACUGGGAGAGGACGUUCAAUACUGUCGGACUAGAGGACGGCAGAGGAAGGUGGAAUUCCCGGUGUAGUGGUGAAAUGCGUAGAUAUCGGGAGGAACACCAGUGGCGAAGGCGGCCUUCUGGGCCGUACCUGACGCUCAGACGCGAAAGCUAGGGGAG